AUCAGGAGUUGGCAAAGUUACCUGGAGGAAAGAGGAAAAAUCUUAUUUUGAUCAUUUUAUUUUUGCUUCGCAUCUAACAAGAUAAAGCAACUGAGAUUUGGAAGGUUUUAUUUUCUGGUUUAUGUAUUUUCUGAGCUGAACAAAUAAUACAAGGGUGCUGCUCCUGAGGCCAGUGUUGUAUGGAAAAUGGCUCCAUUAAAGAACAAAGUAAGAGAUGGAAUCAAAAAUAAGAAUAAUGAAGAUUUUUAUAGGCAAGAAAUUUUAACAAUGUGGACUUGUGGUAAUAAGUGCAAAAAGCCGAUAA